rnacentral:rRNA from 1 species
GACGAACGCUGGCGGCGUGCCUAAUACAUGCAAGUCGAACGGACCUUGCUUGGACGGAGUGGAGUACUUGUACAAAGCGAAGACUGAGCGCUGGUUAGUGGCGAACGGGUGAGUAACACGUAGGUAACCAACCGAUAAGACGAGGACAACUCAUGGAAACGUGAGCUAGUACUGGAUGUGGUAUAGAGAAGGCAUCUUUUCUAUAUUAAAGGAGCAUUUGGCUUCACUUAUUGAUGGACCUGCGGCGUAUUAGCUAGUUGGUAGGGUAGAAGCCUACCAAGGCGAUGAUACGUAGCCGAUCUGAGAGGAUAAACGGCCACACUGGGACUGAGAUACGGCUCAGACUCCUACGGGAGGCAGCAGUAGGGAAUUUUCCACAAUGGACGAAAGUCUGAUGGAGCAACGCCGCGUGUGUGAAGAAGGUUUUCGGAUUGUAAAGCACUGUUGUAUGGGAAGAAUAAGGUAAUGAGGAAAUNAAUUACUGGUGACGGU